rnacentral:rRNA from 1 species
AACGAACGCUGGCGGCAGGCUUAACACAUGCAAGUCGAGCGCCCCGCAAGGGGAGCGGCAGACGGGUGAGUAACGCGUGGGAAUCUACCUAUCACUACGGAACAACUCCGGGAAACUGGAGCUAAUACCGUAUACGUCCGAGAGGAGAAAGAUUUAUCGGUGAUAGAUGAGCCCGCGUUGGAUUAGCUAGUUGGUGGGGUAAUGGCCUACCAAGGCGACGAUCCAUAGCUGGUCUGAGAGGAUGAUCAGCCACACUGGGACUGAGACACGGCCCAGACUCCUACGGGAGGCAGCAGUGGGGAAUAUUGGACAAUGGGCGAAAGCCUGAUCCAGCCAUGCCGCGUGAGUGAUGAAGGCCUUAGGGUGUAAAGCUCUUUCACCGGUGAAGAUAAUGACGGUAACCGGAGAAGAAGCCCCGGCUAACUUCGUGCCAGCAGCCGCG